GCAGGACUGACAGAGAAAAGAGAGGAAGUGGCCAUUUGUAAGUCAGAAGUUGCUGUUGGCCUGACAAGUAGAAUACAAAAACACUGUUAAAGUUGUGCAACAUGUUACAAUAAGCAGUACUUUUGGGACAUGGGGGCCCAGUUAAAAACUUUUGGUAAGGACUCCUUCCCUAACAUGUGAAACCCUGAAGCGUCAGUUCAGUCAACUAUCCAGCAUUCUUUGUAAUAGGAAGCCAGGCAGAAAGAUCCCACUUUGUGUUGAUACCACAAAAAAUUAAAACUUUUUUUUAAAAGAAGAACCCAAACAAUACUCCAGGUUUUAAUUCCUUACAUAAAGGCAAACUUGCAUACACCACAGUCCUUUUCUGGGACUGUCUGACAAAACAUUCCCUUUGGGAAAAGGAAAUCUAGCCUUUAUUUGCAUUGUUUGAUGAUCUUUAGGUUUCAUUCAUCAUUUUGUUCCCCAUGCCUAUCUCUCUUCUCCAGCAUUACCUGAAGAUCUUUAUGCUUUUUCUUACAAUCCCAAAUUCUCAAAAGAGAUGAGGGAAAGUGGAUGGAGACUGAUUGACCCAAUAUCAGACUUUGGGCGUAUGGGAAUACCCAACAGAUACUGGACUAUAACAGAUGCCAACAGAAACUAUGAGAUAUGUAGCACCUACCCUCGUGAAAUAGUGGUUCCUAAAUCUGUUACCUUGGGAACGGUGGUUGGAAGUUCAAAAUUCAGAAGUAAAGAACGUGUCCCUGUGCUCUCCUACCUCUGCAAAGAGAACAGUGCUGCCAUUUGCCGCUGUAGCCAGCCUCUCUCUGGAUUUUACACUCGCUGUGUAGAUGAUGAGCUCUUGUUGGAGGCGAUUAGCCAAACAAACCCAGGGAGCCAGUUUAUGUAUGUUGUAGACACAAGACCAAAGUUGAAUGCCAUGGCCAACCGAGCAGCUGGGAAAGGGUAUGAAAAUGAAGACAACUAUGCCAACAUUCGCUUCAGAUUCAUGGGCAUUGAGAACAUCCAUGUGAUGCGGAACAGUCUGCAGAAACUUUUGGAAGUUUGUGAAUUGAAAACUCCAACAAUGAGUGAAUUUCUUAGCGGCCUGGAGAGCUCAGGGUGGUUAAGACACAUUAAAGCUAUUAUGGAUGCUGGAAUUUUCAUUACAAAGGCAGUAAAGGUAGAAAAGGCCAGUGUCUUAGUCCAUUGUUCUGAUGGGUGGGACCGCACAGCACAAGUCUGCUCGGUGGCCAGCAUCCUCCUAGAUCCAUUUUAUAGGACAUUCAAAGGACUUAUGAUCUUGAUAGAGAAGGAAUGGAUAUCCAUGGGCCACAAGUUUUCCCAAAGGUGUGGCCACUUCGAUGGAGACUCUAAAGAAGUGUCCCCUGUCUUCACCCAGUUCCUAGACUGUAUUUGGCAAUUAAUGGAACAGUUUCCUUGUGCCUUUGAGUUUAAUGAAAACUUCCUGCUGGAGAUCCAUGACCAUGUUUUCUCCUGCCAGUUUGGAAACUUCCUUGGAAACUGCCAGAAGGAUCGGGAAGAUCUAAGAAUCUAUGAGAAAACACAUUCUUUAUGGCCUUUCUUGGUUCAGAGGAAAUCAGACUUCAGGAACCCUCUCUAUAAAGGCUUCACUAUGUAUGGGGUACUCAAUCCCAGUACUGUGCCCUACAACAUUCAGUUCUGGUGUGGGAUGUAUAACCGCUUUGACAAAGGGCUGCAGCCCAAGCAGAGUAUGCUAGAGAGCCUCCUGGAAAUUAAGAAACAGAGAGCAAUGCUGGAGACAGAUGUGCAUGAACUAGAAAAGAAACUAAAAGCCCGUGAUGAGCCACCAGAAGAGAUCUGUACCUGCUCUCAAUUAGGAAACUUACUAUCCCAACAUCUGGGAAGUCCUUUGACCAAUCCUCUUGGCUUUAUGGGUAUUGAUGGAGACCUGAAUACCUUGAUGGAAAAUGGCACCCUCUCCAGGGAAGGAGGCCUCCGAGCUCAGAUGGAUCAAGUAAAAAGCCAGUGUGCAGACCUCCACCGUGACUGUUGUGGGAUUGUGGGCAGCCUUAGGGCCAUAAAUAUCUAUGGGGAUGUGGGCAUCUCUGGAGACAGAGGCAUCUAUGGAGACAUGAGUACCUCUGAGACUACAGAGUUCUCCAGAGACUUAGGAAUCUCUGGGGCCAUGGACAUCUCUGAGGCCACGGGUAUCUCUGGAAACAUGGGUAUUUCUGAGGCCAGGGGUUUAUCUGGAGAGCUGGGUUUCCCUGGGGAUAUGGGCAUCUUGGGAGACACAGGCAUCUCCAAGGCCAGCACCAAUGAGGCAGACUACUCCAAGCAGCAGUGAAUUAGUUACUCAUCUGCUUCCAUGCUAGGUACACCUACAGCAGCUACAAUGAUUAUUGUCCCAGAGAGGGCUCUGCUACUUUUCCAAUUGGUUUAAGCGGGUGAGGCCAGGGCACCCCUCUUCCCACUUAAGAGUCUAGAAGGAAAUUACUUUACCGAUUAAGUGACCAAUAUGUUCAUAUUAAGCAGUACAGAGUAUAGCCAAGGCAAAGAAUAUGUUAUUGUUCUAAAAUGGGAUUUAACUAUAGAAAUGUUGCCUCUCAGCUGAGACAUGUAUUAAACUGGUUCUACUAUCUGUUUUCCUUAAUGAUUGACCUCCCCUAUUUUCUACCCUCACUGAUGUAAUGUGAGAGUGAAUGGAAGUAUUUUCACAAUGGUCAAUAACGACCCAUUUGAGGGGAUGGAGAGAUGGUAUACACCAGGUAACUAAAUUGCAGAAUAUAUUAAAAGAAAAUUUUACUUUCAGGUAUUCUUAAGUCAUGAGAUGUUAGCUAACAUUAUUGCUAAUGGAGACAUACAAUAUUUCCCUGAGAAAGAAAUCAAAAUGAUGCUUAAUUGUUAGCAUGAGUGCAUGGGUGUUUGGUGGUUUGAAACAUGUAAGGAAAGUUUUCUUAAGUUAUGACACUUGCUCUCUCCAACCCACACCCCACCUAGGUCUUGUUAUAAUACUUAGCCAGUUCCCUUUUUCAUAGAUGGCUCAUAGGUAAACUUGAAUCCACUACAGUCUGAAAUUAUAAAUUUCAAAUUAAUGAGUUUUGUAUUAAUAACAUUGAUUAAUAGCAUUCUCAGCAUCGGUUCAGGAAGUAAUUGAAAAUCUUGGUGCUUCAGACUCAGACUGAGACAUGGUCUAUGUGCUUAUCUGGGUUUUUGCAAAAUACAUCCCGUUUUGGGUCUUUUUAUGAAGACAAGUGGUUUCCCUUUUCUGGAUAUCACAUGAGAUUUUUGGAUUUUUUAGGCACAAUUGGCCCUACUUUUAAAUCUGGUAGGUUUAUCACCUUGUGCUAAUGUACACUUUUGAAUAAAGUCCAUUCUGAUAGCAUAUACAGAUACUCCUGGGGAAAGGGAUGUAUUUUUAUUUAAACAUCAGAUUUUCUCCUAGAGCUUGAUAUACUUGAUGGGUUUUUCAUCUUUCCUGUUGGAUAUUUAGUCAUGAUUUUGCCACUUCCACAUACUGAGAGUAGGAUAGGCCUUGGUCAGUUUGGAUCAUGCUCUGUAUAUUCUCAGCAAUUCCAGAACUCUUAAUGCCAACAGAAUACAGGUCCUCAACCAAAAUGUCUUUUCCAAAUACUCUAUAUUUGGCUUAAGCUAAAAAAUUAGAUGACUUAAAGAGGCAUCUCUUGAUUUUCACAUCCAGUUGUGCACAUAGAAAUCUCUAGAGGAUUUAGGUGCUUUCCUUCAAAAAAAUCUCUAAAGGCUUAGGUGCUUUUCUUUGAAAGAAAAGGGGUACUUUUUAAGGGUUUAAUUUAUGUGUAGGAGAGGAAUACCAGGAUAGCUCCUUGAUUUCUUUUCCCUAGCUAAACUAUUUACCCAAAACAACCUCUUUAGUGGAAGAACUGUAAAUCAUUUUGGUUGUCUUUUUUUAAUAUAUAAAUGGAGUCAUUUUUCUGUUUAUUUCCUCUUGGUAACUGUUUUAAUUCUUUGUUUUUAAAGAACUCUUAAUUUAUUUGGAACUUUCCCAUUAAUAAAUAGGGCCAUAUCUUACUUACAUCUUUUUGAUAGCUGCCUUGAUCUUAUAAUUUUAAAGCAUGAGGAUGAUUUCCUUUUGUAUCUCUCUUGUCCUCCUCUUUCCAUGAUUUAGUCCUUACUUUAUAUAAACUAAAUCAUCAUUUGACUUCUUUUGGAAAAUAAAACGGGGUCUGUACACACCAUUUUGAUCUGGAAGUUACAUGUAAUUCUGGCUUUGUGAAGGACGUUGCCAAAAAGGAUGACGGUACCAAUCUGCCACCAGUGAGCCAUUCUGGAGCUUGCUCCCACACCUUUCUCCCAUAUCUCAAUCUGUAUUUUGCAGUCCAUUAAUUAGCAUGAUGUUCUGGAUAGAGUGUGUUGAGUUUUCAGGGAAGAAAGUAAAAAGGUAAAUGGUAAGACAGAGUAGUUUUUGCAAAUAAAAAAAAUUAAGCCUUGAUUUAUUCCUAAAGAUCUGUACAAGGACAGUACAUAGUACCUAACCUUAUUUCUUAGAUCAAAAACAAAAUAAUAGUGAAAGGAAAGACUUUUCAAUAUAAUUCUAAACUGAGAAGUGGUAAACCACAACCCUGGUAUUUCCAAAAGUAAAAACAAAAUUUUUAAAAGACUGUAUUAUUUUGUUAAUUAAGGCCACAGGAGCAAUUUCAGUCUCAAAAUCUGUGAGGUCAGUUAGUUUGGUCUUCGAUAUUUUUACUCUCCAACAUGUCCCAUUAUUGCUUGCAUAUAACAAAUACAGAACUAAGAAAAAAAAAAGCUGCGUGAAAAUCACCUAUUUAUUCUCAACACCCAACACCUUUUGGGUUUACAGUUGGAUUUGAAAAUCUGAGAGAAGAAAAAGAUGGAAUCCAGAUAUUUAUACACUAGUAAAAGCAGAGUAGCUAUCUGUAGGUAGGAGCUCAGCAAUAGUGAGGAGACUUAUGAAGGUAAGUUGGCAGGAGUACUAGAAAAGAUGAUCUAUUAAUGGCUUUCACUUCAUACUCUGAUAUAACACCUAUGCCGCAAAAGAAAUAUGACUCCCUACCCACACUGUCCUACCCUACCAGUUCCCCAAGCAGAAAUUCCAUUCUCAUGUGACUGCUUUACUUAAAUUGGAAGGCAUUUAACCACCUGCCACUGUCAUCCACUAAUCUGACCUCUGCCUGCUUUCUACACAAGUUUCACAGGCCUGGGGUUACUGCUUAUCUUUUCUAAACAUGAAGCAUGCUCUGUUUCUGUGCUUGUGGCCAGACUCAAAUUCUACCAUGGCCACUGUUUUAAAAAUUCAUUAAUUAUUUGCUUAGUUGAUGAAAUGACAGAUUUAUCACAGUAAUAAAGCAAUCUUAAAUAACAAACUUAAAUAACAGCUAACACUUUUGACUUUUUAAAGAAGAAAUUCACUAAUAAGGCUUGCUCUAUGAAAGAAAACCUGAAAUUAUAUAGAACUAACCACAAGAAUGUAAAGCUUAUGGUGUAUAUAUUAGACAUAUAUAUCUUUGGAAAGUAGCCUUAGAAAUUAUCUUCAAUUACCAGCAAGUCAGUUGUCAUUGCCUGCCAACAUGCAUGAAACACCUUUAGUCUGAGAUAGCCCUCACACUUCACUAGAAGUGAGACCUUUCUCAGAAUACUUCCAGCCAAAAGGAAUCCAAAUCUUUUUAAGAGGUGCUUUUCAAACCUAAUUGGUAACUAUUUAAGUUGGGUUUUAAUUAAGUAGAAAGAGAAGUUUAAUAACUAAAGAUGAUCGUGUUAGAUCUUUGUUACAUACUGGCUUUUAUUAAACACCCAACUUUUCUUGAUGCUAAUUAGGCUUUGAUAUACUUUUGAGAAAUCUCUCUGUGAGAGUAUUUUAUUAAGUGUCCUUUUUUCUAAACAAUUGUUUAGGGAAAUGUAAAUUACCUUUAUGUUAAAAUACCUCUCUCAAAAGGGGUUUACUAUACUCCAGAUUGGUUUAUACCUAGGAAGAUAAUUCUCACCUUCUCUAUUAAUUCCCAGUGUGUAUAAUUUAGUGAUAUAUAAACCAAAUCUUUACCCCACCUUCAGGCUUCUCACUCUCAGAAUUCUAUGUAUGAUACAGGCAGAUUCUCCAACCAAAUCUGGUUGCUUUAUUCUAAGUGCCAAAUCUACACCUGCUUUUUGAUACAGACAUUUAAAAACAAACAAAAAGACAUGGCUUAAGCCUUACAUGUUAUUCCUAUGGUUUUUUUGUUUGUUUUUGUUUUAAUAUACUGUGAAGAAACGGUUGGGCUGUCAGGCAAUACCAAACAGACAGAGGGAAAGAUGUUAGGUCAUAAACGACUCUUGUUUUCUUGUCCUUUUAAAGGCAGUUGUGAUUUCAAAGUAUGUGAUGGUAGCAUAGAAACUUUUCCAAAGAAAAAAGAAAAAGAAAAUCUGCUUUUCAAGCCCUAUAGAACAUGUCUUCUCUGAUUCCCUGGCUGUGGGACUGACAGUCUUUCCCUUACUUUUAAAUAGGAAGUACUAGUAUUGUCACGAGCCUUGGCAGCUCAUGUCUCCUUUACAUGUCAAUGCAAGUAAAAGCAUGUUACAUUCUCUACGAUUUGUGACUUGUUUUCACAAAAGACAAGUGUGCUUUGAAAGCAGCUGUCUCAUUUAGAUCCAUGGGUCUUGCAGGAACUGAGAAGUUGGCAUGCUAAGUCUGGUGCCCUGUCCCUGGGUGCUUUUUAAAGCAUUGGGGGUAACUUAAAAGCCUUUUUCUCUUCCAAAGCUUUAUUAACCUUUCAACCAUUUUCAUGGCUUCGUACUCUGACUUUUUAGAGGGCCCUACACCAGCCCUAACAGAAUCCUAGUUGUAGAAAAAGAGGUGGGAAAGGUGAAGGGAAGAGAAUAAUAAUAAAGAAAUACACCUGGCCAGUUCAAUAAAAAGAGUGUAUACUUAUUCAUGAUUACCAGCAUUCCAGUUAUUUAAAAUUUCAUGUGCUCCUUGAGAUUAAAUUGUUCAUAAUAAGGUCCAAAAGUCUUCUUUUCCAAGUGGUACUGAGAGUAAUCUAUUUUCUUUUUAAGGCUUUUACACUGGUAGAAACUCUUUCCUUAAGAAUGCUAUGAAAUGCUUUGAGUUUUGUAUUUUCGUUGUCAAUACUUUUCUCUGUUAUGAUAUGUAGUCCUGGGUUUUCUUUUAUUUUUAGAGAGUUAAGGCUGAUGGGUGGUAUUCUCUCCCCUUAGUAUGUCCCUGAGGCAGAUCAGUCCUUAGCCCUCUUUUUGCUUCUUGUGCUGAAGCAUCAUUGGAUUUCUCACCAGUCAGAUGAGAAACAUACACCAAAGUCAUAGAUAAUCACUGUUCAAACACCCAUGUCCUCUGGUCCCACUUCACAUGCAUUUGGCCAUACUAGUUCACAUGCAGUGCCUCCAAGUCUCCACCUCACUUGCAUUUGCAGACAGGGUGAUUUAUUUCGUGAAUGCCAGUGAGAAGCAGAGCACAUAUACUGCUUCUGAAACAGCAUGUUGUAUAUUCUACUUUGACAAUGCGUCUGGCUUAGGAACAGCUAACAAGUUCAGUCCUUUCAGAAUAUAGCUCAUGGUACAGCUGUGUGUGUGUGUGUGUGUGUGUGUGUGUGUGUGUGUGUGUGUGUGU